rnacentral:rRNA from 1 species
UACAGAGGGGGCAAGCGUUAUUCGGGAAUUAUUGGGCGUAAAGGGCGCGUAGGCGGCUCUGCACGUCCGUUGUGAAAUCGCCCGGCUCAACUGGGCGGGGUCAGCGGAUACGGCAGAGCUUGAGCAAGCUAGGGGGCAAUGGAAUUCCCGGUGUAGUGGUGGAAUGCGUAGAUAUCGGGAGGAACACCAGUGGCGAAGGCGGUUGCCUGGGGGCUUUGCUGACGCUGAUGCGCGAAAGCGUGGGGAG